rfam:Ailuropoda melanoleuca scaffold467_19, whole genome shotgun sequence.
GCCCAGCUGGCUCAGUUGGUAGAGCUUGUGACUCUUGAUCUUGGGUUUGUGAGUUCAAGCCCCAUGUUUGGUG